CCUACGGGCGGCAGCAGUGAGGAAUAUUGGUCAAUGGACGAGAGUCUGAACCAGCCAAGUAGCGUGAAGGAUGACUGCCCUAUGGGUUGUAAACUUCUUUUAUAAAGGAAUAAAACGAGGCACGUGUGCCUUUUUGCAUGUACUUUAUGAAUAAGGAUCGGCUAACUCCGUGCCAGCAGCCGCGGUAAUACGGAGGAUCCGAGCGUUAUCCGGAUUUAUUGGGUUUAAAGGGAGCGUAGAUGGGUUGUUAAGUCAGUUGUGAAAGUUUGCGGCUCAACCGUAAAAUUGCAAUUGAUACUGGAAGUCUUGAGUACAGUUGAGGUAGGCGGAAUGCGUGGUGUAGCGGUGAAAUGCUUAGAUAUAACGAAGAACCCCGAUUGCGAAGGCAGCUUACUAGACUGUGACUGACAUUGAUGCUCGAAAGUGUGGGUAUCAAACAGGAUUAGAUACCCCGGUAGUC
rnacentral:rRNA from 1 species